GAUGAACGCUGGCGGCGUGCCUAAUACAUGCAAGUCGAGCGAACAGAUGAGGAGCUUGCUCCUCUGACGUUAGCGGCGGACGUGUGAGUAACACGUGGAUAACCUACCUAUAAGACUGGGAUAACUUCGGGAAACCGGAGCUAAUACCGGAGAAUAUAUUGAACCGCAUGGUUCAAUGGUGAAAGACGGUUUUGCUGUCACUUAUAGAUGGAUCCGCGCCGCAUUAGCUAGUUGGUAAGGUAACGGCUUACCAAGGCAACGAUGCGUAGCCGACCUGAGAGGGUGAUCGGCCACACUGGAACUGAGACACGGUCCAGACUCCUACGGGAGGCAGCAGUAGGGAAUCUUACGCAAUGGGCGAAAGCCUGACGGAGCAACGCCGCGUGAGUGAUGAAGGUCUUCGGAUCGUAAAACUCUGUUAUUAGGGAAGAACAAAUGCGUAAGUAACUAUGCACGUCUUGACGGUACCUAAUCAGAAAGCCACGGCUAACUACGUG
rnacentral:rRNA from 1 species